rnacentral:rRNA from 1 species
AGCGAACGCUGGCGGCAGGCUUAACACAUGCAAGUCGAACGCUCGUAGCAAUACGGGAGUGGCAGACGGGUGAGUAACGCGUGGGAAUAUGCCUUUUGGUUCGGAAUAACUCAGGGAAACUUGAGCUAAUACCGGAUAAGCCCGUGAGGGGAAAGAUUUAUCGCCAAAAGAUUAGCCCGCGUCCGAUUAGCUAGUUGGUGAGGUAAUGGCUCACCAAGGCGACGAUCGGUAGCUGGUCUGAGAGGAUGAUCAGCCACAUUGGGACUGAGACACGGCCCAAACUCCUACGGGAGGCAGCAGUGGGGAAUAUUGGACAAUGGGCGCAAGCCUGAUCCAGCCAUGCCGCGUGAGUGAUGAAGGCCUUAGGGUUGUAAAGCUCUUUUGUCCGGGAAGAUAAUGACGGUACCGGAAGAAUAAGCACCGGCUAACUACGUGCCAGCCGCCGCUGUAA